rnacentral:rRNA from 1 species
AAGGGCACCACCAGGAGUGGAGCCUGCGGCUUAAUUUGACUCAACACGGGAAAACUUACCCGGCCCGGACACAAGUAGGAUUGACAGAUUGAAGCUCUUUCUUGAUUCAGUGGGUGGGGGUGCAUGGCCGUUCUUAGUUGGUGGAGCGAUUUGUCUGGUUAAUUCCGAUAACGAACGAGACUCUAGCCUACUGAAUAGACUACCGUUCCUUUGUGACGGUAGGACUUCUUAGAGGGACAGGGGGCGACUCAGCCGCACGAAACAGAACAAUAACAGGUCUGUGAUGCCCUUAGAUGUCCGGGGCCGCACGCGCGCUACACUGAAGUGAUCAGCGUGCAUUAAUAACCCUCUCUGUCAAGAGUGGGUAACCCAUUGAACCUUCUACGUGAUUGGGAUAGGGUAUUGUAAUUCUUACCCUUGAACGAGGAAUUCCCAGUAAACGUGAGUCAUAAGCUCACGUUGAUUACGUCCCUGCCCUUUGUACACACCGCCCGUCGCUACUACCGAUUGAAUGUUUUA